rnacentral:sRNA from 13 species
CAGUUUUAUCUUCAAAACGAAACAUAUUUUGUUAAUAUUAAGCUAGUUUAAGGAGUUGAUAUUAACAUAAAUUUAAAAGUAAAUAAUGUUUAUAAUAUAAAGUUUGUAUAACUGUUAUGUCAAAAUAUUUCCUAUACCGAUAAUUCGAGCCACCCUAAUUAAUCGGGCGGCAUUGUGAGAGUGUGUUGGUAUUAUCCUGUCAGCCUGUCAGCAGUGAGCUAGUGAGAAAUGAGCGAAGCGAUGAGAGGGUAAUCCCGAGCACCGAGCACCAAGCACCAAGCACCAAACACCGAACACCACUGGGUGUUGGAAAUGGACGAACACUUUGUUGUUUGCACAAUAAGCAAGGAUGUGCUUUAAGUCCCUGUGUGGAAAAUCCCUUAACUGACCUACUUCACUGCUACAUGGAGAAGAAUUUGGCCAUUAAAUCUGGGCUCAGUAUUGUUAGAUCAAGCUUUUCAUUGGAGAAGAGAAUCGUUUAUGCGUUUUUGGCAUGCAUUUAAAGUUGAAUUUGCUGAGUUUGAAGCGGAACAAUAUUAAUUAAACCAAAAUUUGUAUAUUUUUAUCGCAGUGUAGCUUGUGUUCUGCUUUCUAUUUCUUGUUCUGAAUGCAGUUUUGCUGUCAAGGAGCUCCGUUCUUCAUCUUCUGCCAACGCCGCGCCCUCUGAAUUUUU